UUCCGAACAACUUGAUUUCCAAGAUUUUUUUUUUAUAUCUUUCCUCUUUCUGAAACUCUUUUCCAACUCUCUCCCGGUUGGACUCGAACUCGGAUUCGCGGUUGAAAACUAAAACUUGCCGACUCGGUGUAGGACUCGACGAGGGACUCGAUGGAAGAUAUGGUGGUAGCAAAAGAUUACAGCGUGGCGGUGGUGUGGCAGGGAGUUUGGCGGCGGAAGAUUGAUGAAGAAACCUGUGCCACACGAAGAACAAAAAACCAAAAACAAGUUCGAUCUAGUAGAAAAAAAUCUGAAAAACGAUCCAAUCUAAUCCAUCAACUCGACAUGAUUAAUGCAGCA
rnacentral:lncRNA from 1 species